rnacentral:rRNA from 1 species
UCUUCCCUCUUUCUUCGUGCCUAAUACAUGCAAGUCGAGCGAACGGACGAGAAGCUUGCUUCUCUGAUGUUAGCGGCGGACGGGUGAGUAACACGUGGAUAACCUACCUAUAAGACUGGGAUAACUUCGGGAAACCGGAGCUAAUACCGGAUAAUAUUUUGAACCGCAUGGUUCAAAAGUGAAAGACGGUCUUGCUGUCACUUAUAGAUGGAUCCGCGCUGCAUUAGCUAGUUGGUAAGGUAACAGCUUACCCAGGCAACGAUGCAUAGCCGACCUGAGAGGGUGAUCGGCCACACUGGAACUGAGACACGGUCCAGACUCCUACGGGAGGCAGCAGUAGGGAAUCUUCCGCAAUGGGCGAAAGCCUGACGGAGCAACGCCGCGUGAGUGAUGAAGGUCUUCGGAUCGUAAAACUCUGUUAUUAGGGAAGAACAUAUGUGUAAGUAACUGUGCACAUCUUGACGGUACCUAAUCAGAAAGCCACGGCUAACUACGUG